rnacentral:sRNA from 1 species
GGACGUGAGGACAAUCUGACUGCAACAUCCAUCAUCUCAUGGGCCACCAGAAUAGAUUUGGCUGAGCUGGAUAAAAUAGGUGGUGUUCUCUUCCUCUCUCACCACUCCCUGUGCUUACUUCCCAAAGCUGCAUGCAGAGUAAUAUAGGAUGACCAUCCCAGUUGGUCAUUGGUCUAGGAUAGCUGCUAGAAUCUCCAAACAAUGACAGCUUCAACACACAGGAAAGUAGUGAACAUUAAGAGUAGCAUUACACAACUGUUACAUAGUGUUGUGAAC